UACGAAGGGGGCUAGCGUUGUUCGGAAUCACUGGGCGUAAAGGGCGCGUAGGCGGCUUUAUAAGUCGGGUGUGAAAGCCUGUGGCUCAACCACAGAAUUGCCUUCGAUACUGUAGAGCUUGAGACCGGAAGAGGUAAGUGGAACUGCGAGUGUAGAGGUGAAAUUCGUAGAUAUCAAGAGGAACACCUGCGGCGAAGGCGGGUUGCUGGGCCGACACUGACGCUGAAGCGCGAAAGCUAGGGGAGCGAACGGG
rnacentral:rRNA from 1 species